rnacentral:tRNA from 1 species
GAGGGUAUAGCUCAGUGGUAGGGUGCGUGCUUAGCAUGCAUGAGGUCCUGGGUUCAAUCCCUAGUACUUCCA